CUGUGUCUCCUCCCCUCUCCCUCUGUGUGCUCUCUCCUCUCCGCCCCGGAGCCCGGAUGAUGAUCCGCACCUGUGUCUCGUCAACCUCCACCUCCGCCCACCACACCUGCCAGCCAUCAGCCUGAUCUUCAACAGUAUUUCUACACCCCGGUUCUCCACUCCAUCUCCGCUUGAUCGUCGUCGCUCCAGUCCUGGUCCACUCACCUCCAUCAUCCAGUCAGUCAGCUGGACUCGCCUACCUACCUUCUCCCCUCACCUCGCCUCCGCGGCGUUACCCCGGCUUCCCUUCACGCUCCUCGCCCCUCUCGCCUCGGCCUCCUGCCCCCUCUCGGUCGCCUCACUUGAACCUCUCCAGCCCUGCCAGCUCCUCGGCCCCCCGCGCCCACGUCUGCCGGCGUCCAACUUUCCCCUUUUCACCUCACGUCUCUCCUCUCCCUUUUUCCCCUCAAUAAACCUCUUUUGCAAACUGACAA